UACGGAGGGGGCUAGCGUUGUUCGGAAUUACUGGGCGUAAAGCGCACGUAGGCGGCUUUGUAAGUUAGAGGUGAAAGCCCGGGGCUCAACUCCGGAAUUGCCUUUAAGACUGCAUCGCUAGAAUUGUGGAGAGGUAAGUGGAAUUCCGAGUGUAGAGGUGAAAUUCGUAGAUAUUCGGAAGAACACCAGUGGCGAAGGCGACUUACUGGACACAUAUUGACGCUGAGGUGCGAAGCGUGGGGAGCAAACAGG
rnacentral:rRNA from 1 species